AUUCUAUCCAACUAUUCAACUGGAACGGAUUGGGAUUUACCAAUGUUGCUAUUCUAUCCAAUCAUGUGUAGACAAUGUAAUGCGUAACCUGUUUAUUCGACUUAAUCUGUCACUAGUUUUAUAUUCUUUUUGUCAGUAUAAAAAAUGUUAGAAAGGAGAAUUUCUUCACUAGUUAACACAUAAUAAUGGGCUAGUGCAGAUAGUAAAGAUUUGUAUUUAGUUUUCUAUGAGCGUAUCCUAUCACAAGCAGCUUUGUCCAUCUUAGUUUAUUUUGAUUUGGUGUUCUUGAUGCUCAGUUUUGUGUGUUUUAAUAGGUUUGUUGAAGUGCAAAGUAAAGAAUGGAUAAAAUAAAGUAGACUAAUUCGUUUACUUCAAUUUCAGCUCUAAGAUUCAUGUGGAAAUCCAUAUAUGCUUUAUUUUUAGUUUAAUGUAGCUAGGUGCCACUAUGUGUCCUACUGAUUCAUAAACCAUUUUGAUAUCUGAGACCUUUUAAAUUGGUUAUGACAAAUGGUCCUGCUUACUUGUUAAUGGACAUGAAGUGCAUCCAGGCACGCUGCCGUUCGACAUCCACUCAUGCAAGAUUUGUUAUCUCAGCCGCUGGCCUGUCUUGCUUGAUGGCCUUUCCAUGUAAUGAGUGAUUUGUUUGCCCAGUUUGAUGCCACUGUCUCAUAGAAGAAAGAGGACCAUUGUGACAGCUCAAUGAAACAUUGUGAGAGCUCAGUUUCAGCUGGCUGCUCAGUGCGGUGUGAUUGUUGAUGAGUUUAUUGCUGCAUGGAGAUCAUCUGAUACAAUCAUCAGAGGUGAGGCAUCGAGCAGGUGCAUUGGAGCAAAUUAGGAUGACUGGUAUCAUUCUCAGCAUGUCGGUGCAUUCGGACGUGCGGGUAAUCUAUGCAGAAGUCUCUUAAUGACUGUCUUCUUUGCAAUGAAAAUUCUGGAAUACUGUGAUGGUGAAGGCCGUGCCUGUCUAAAAGACUAAUAUAGAUCUGGCACGAUCAGCUAGGAUGAGGGAUGAGAUGCUGCAUUACCUUACUUUUCACACAGCUAACAUGGUGGAAUACUUAACCGACAAGCUUCUCUAGUUUAGUAUUGAAGGGUUCCCCUUCCAUUUAAAUAUUUAUCUGAAGUAUAGUGUGUGCUAGCUAGAUUAGUGUCCCAGUGCCUUCUUUCAUUGUACAUAUAUACAUGUUACCCUGCUACACAAAUUAACUUGGUGAACAAAUAUGCUGCUAGUAAAGUCAGUCUGUUGUAUUUGA